CCGGAAGGCAGCAGUGGGGAAUAUUGCACAAUGGGCGAAAGCCUGAUGCAGCGACGCCGCGUGAGCGAAGAAGUAUUUCGGUAUGUAAAGCUCUAUCAGCAGGGAAGAUAAUGACGGUACCUGACUAAGAAGCUCCGGCUAAAUACGUGCCAGCAGCCGCGGUAAUACGUAUGGAGCAAGCGUUAUCCGGAUUUACUGGGUGUAAAGGGUGCGUAGGCGGCAUGGCAAGUCAGUCGUUAAAGCCCAGAGCUUAACUCUGGAUCAGCGAUUGAAACUGUCAAGCUAGAGUACAGGAGAGGUUAGUGGAAUUACUAGUGUAGAGGCGGAAUUCGUAGAUAUUAGUAAGAACACCAAUGGCGAAGGCAGCUAACUGGCCUGAAACUGACGCUGAGGCACGAAAGUGUGGGGAGCAAACAGGAUUAGAUACCCUGGUA
rnacentral:rRNA from 1 species